rnacentral:rRNA from 1 species
CCAUCAGCUAGUCUGGAGGUCAUUA